rnacentral:hammerhead_ribozyme from 1 species
GUACUGCUAAAGAGUCCUAAAUCAGGACGAAACAUCUGUCCAGUAC